ensembl:lncRNA
GUAUUGGGGCUGGUAUUGUGGAUUGUAUUGGGGCUGGUAUUGGGGCUGGUAUUGUGGAUUGUAUUUGGGCUGGUAUUGUGGAUUGUAUUGGGGCUGGUAUUGGGGCUGGUAUUGUGGAUUGUAUUUGGGCUGGUAUUGUGAAUUGUAUUGGGGCUGGUAUUGGGGCUGGUAUUUGAGCUGGUAUUGGGGCUGGUAUUGUGGAUUGUAUUGGGGCUGGUAUUGUGAAUUGUAUUGGGGCUGGUAUUGGGGCUGGUAUUGGGGCUGGUAUUGGGGCUGGUAUUUGAGCUGGUAUUGGGGCUGGUUUGUGGAUUGUUUUGGGGCUGGUAUUGUGGAUUGUUUUGGGGCUGGUAUUGGGGCUGGUAUUGUGGAUUGUAUUGGGGCUGGUAUUGUGGAUUGUAUUGGGGCUGGUAUUUGAGCUGGUAUUGGGGCUGGUAUUGUGGAUUGUAUUGGGGCUGGUAUUGUGGAUUGUAUUGGGGCUGGUAUUUGAGCUGGUAUUGGGG